CUCAGAAUGAACGCUGGCGGCGUGCUUAACACAUGCAAGUCGAACGAGAAAUCUUUAGCUUGCUAGAGAAAGUAAAGUGGCGCACGGGUGAGUAACGCGUGGGUAAUCUGCCUCCGAAUCGGGGAUAGCAUUGCGAAAGCGAUGCUAAUACCGGAUAAAAUCUGGUUGGCUUCGGUGAACCGGAUCAAAGGUGGUCUCUUUUAAAAAGCUACCGUUUGGAGGUGAGCCCGCGUCCUAUUAGCUAGUUGGUGGGGUAACAGCCUACCAAGGCCGCGAUGGGUAGCCGGUCUGAGAGGAUGAACGGCCACACUGGGACUGAGACACGGCCCAGACUUCUACGGAAGGCAGCAGUGGGGAAUUUUGCGCAAUGGGGGAAACCCUGACGCAGCAACGCCGCGUGGACGAUGAAGGCCUUCGGGUUGUAAAGUCCUGUUCUGGGGGAAGAACAAGCAGCAGGCCAAUACCCUGCUGUCCUGACGGUACCCCAGGAGAAAGCUCCGGCUAAUUAUGUGCCAGCAGCCGCGGUAACACAUAAGGAGCAAGCGUUGUCCGGAAUUAUUGGGCGUAAAGAGCUCGUAGGCGGUCCCGAAAGUCAGCUGUGAAAGCACCAGGCUCAACCUGGUAGGGUCAGCUGAAACUUCGGAACUUGAGGGUAGAAGAGGAAAGUGGAAUUCCCGGUGUAGCGGUGAAAUGCGUAGAUAUCGGGAGGAACACCAGUGGCGAAGGCGGCUUUCUGGUCUAACCCUGACGCUGAGGAGCGAAAGCUAGGGGAGCGAACGGGAUUAGAUACCCCGGUAGUCCUAGCUGUAAACGAUGGAUACUAGGUGUAGGAGGUAUCGACCCCUUCUGUGCCGCAGUUAACGCAUUAAGUAUCCCGCCUGGGGAGUACGGCCGCAAGGCUGAAACUCAAAGGAAUUGACGGGGGCCCGCACAAGCGGUGGAGCAUGUGGUUUAAUUCGACGCAACGCGAAGAACCUUACCGGGGCUUGACAUCUUUUUGACCGCCUGGGAAACCAGGUUUUCUUCCUUCGGGAAGACAGAAAGACAGGUGGUGCAUGGUUGUCGUCAGCUCGUGUCGUGAGAUGUUGGGUUAAGUCCCACAACGAGCGCAACCCUUGUCCUUAUUUGCCAGCUUGCUUGCAAGCGCACUCUAAGGAGACUGCCGUAGAUAAUACGGAGGAAGGUGGGGAUGACGUCAAAUCCUCAUGCCCCUUACGUCCCGGGCUACACACGUGCUACAAUGGUCUGUACAGAGGGUUGCCAAGGAGCAAUCCGGAGCCAAUCCCACAAAGCAGGCCUCAGUUCGGAUUGGAGGCUGAAAUUCGCCUCCAUGAAGGUGGAAUCGCUAGUAAUCCGGAUCAGCAUGCCGCGCGAUCCGUUCCCGGGCUUGUACACACCGCCCGUCACACCACGAAGUUGACGAUACCUGAAGU
rnacentral:rRNA from 1 species